ACGAGAAUUGAUUCUUAUUAUUCAUGUUAUGAUCUUUCACUGCAGCUUAACACUGUGAUUGCAUUCCAUUGGGUGUAGCUGGAUGUUGUUAGAUAUUUGCUGAUGAAAGACUUCUGGAUACUUCAAAAUGUGUGAAGGUACUUGCUGUUAGAAGCUACAUGUUUGAUGUUUAUUAUUGUUCAUAUGCUGGGGGCAACUUGAACAUUUCAAAAUGAUGUUAAACUUGCUUUCUUGGUUGACUUUUUCUUAUCUCCUCACAGGGUGAUGCGGACUCUGGGUAUGGUGCAAAGGCACAUGAGAUAAUUGGCCAAGUUAGACGAAGGUGCUUUAGACACGAGAAUACCAAGAUGAAGUGUGUUGGUCGUGCUGCCCACUGGAGCUGCUGCCGGCGUACACUAAGGCUUCCUGCCCCUGCCUUCUUCGACUGUGACCUCUCCUACUGCGGUAGCCUUCUUCUUCGACUCCUUGUGUUCAGGCGAUGCAAGUUUUAGAAGGCUGGUAGCAUCGAAGGCAUGACUGCAGGUCUGGAGGGUGGGAGAAUAGCAAGCGAAAGCUGAACUCCUGUUGCUUGCGAAACCAAUUGUACCUGAGUUGUAUUGGUUGUGGACUUUUAUUUGUGACUCCAAAUCUGGAAUGUUGGGUGGUAGUUGAUGAAGUAACAUCAUUUUUGUGAUGCUCCAGACUUGUGCUGGAGUUGGGUUGCC